CUCGGCACACGCCCCCUGUCCGCUCUCGGACCCGGGAUCCAGGCCGGGCCACAUGCUCCCCUCCCUCCCCUUCCCGGUCCCAGCCGGCCGUCUCAGCCAGCCCGCCGAGGCCCUCCGUGCGGCCGGGCUGCGCUCCUUCCCCAGCCCCCGGGACGUCAAAGACAAAAUGCCGGCUUCGGGCUGGGGGCUGGGGGGGUACAGGUCUGAGGACUGCACCGCGACUCUGCCCACCCCUCUUCUGCUCAACACCCUCCUCUCCCACAAGGAUUCGCGCGCGUCCUCGGGCCCCUUACACUUCGCGGUGAGCUUGCCUGGAUCCCCGACCGCGGGGGCCGCGGGGCUGCUGCGGGUGCAAAGCUCUGGGACCGGAUGGCAGACAGGAAGACUGAGGCCGAAGGGAAGCGAACGCUUCUCAGACGUGGUGGCCGGACUGAGACUUUUUCAAACUAAAGGCGCUGAGCCGUGGAACAGUCCCUGAAAAACCCCCUGCACGAGAGAGAAUAUGUCUCAGAGCCUGCCUCCCAGAAAACCCAGCCCAUGAGGGGGAGCACGGGAGGCACUUGCUGUGCGUCCUGCUGACGGGAAUGACCCAGAAGAGGGGGAGAGGUGCCCUACUGCCUGACCAGCUUCAGAAGGCCACAGGCUCCCACAACAGGUGAACACCACGUGCUGACUAUGCACGGGGACCUUCAAGCAGGGGGCGAGCAGUCUCCGUUCCCAGGGUACCAGCCUUGCCCUGCCCGGAGGCUGCUGCUGCAAACCCAGGAAAACAGCACGUCGGGGCCAAGAGUGCCAGCCGGGCUGGAAACAUUAGAAGGGACCGAGGCAGCGAGAUGUCUAAAAUAGGAAGACGCCGGGAAGAUUGGCCUGGCUGCCGGCGACGCUGGCUGCGGGGAUCUGGCCCGGCUGUGCAGACGGAAAAGCUAAGAGGCUGGACUGAGCCGGGGAGCCAGAAGCCUACAAGAAGAAUUGAAACCCAGGGAUCUGAAAGCUGGAAGAGUGUACGUACAAGGAGCCAUCUGGUCAGCAGAAUCAGGAAAGCCUUUGCAGAGGAGGGGCCAGCCCAACUGGACGGUGAGGGAUGAAGAGGAGUUCGCCAAGGCAGAUGCAAGGGGUAAGGGCAGGCAACACGACUGCAAGGCAUACCCAACAUUCUGGGCCAGGAGGGCUUUCAAGUUCUUUUCUGUCCUGCGUUCUGAUUUUCUAGCUGAAUCCUGCUGUUAAAGCCUAAAUGGAGCCCGUGGGGAGCCCACAGCGUCCAGCUCCUCCCGGGUCUCUGAGCUGACCCAGAAUAGCCCGUUUCUAGAACACAAACAGAUGGAGGCCAGGGGUCCGUCCUGGAGCAUCCUGGCUGGGUUUCUCGGGCGAGGACAGCUAAGCUGAGCAGGUCCAAAUCCCAGCUCCCCAUUUACCAGCAAGUGACUCCACUUCUCAGUGCUUUUGUUUCCUCAUCUGUAAUUGUAGGAUAAGGACGGUCCCAGGUCCCCAGAGGGCUGGCAGGAGAACCGAGUUAAUGCAGAUGGAACUUACAACACUCUUCCCUCCUCCUCUCCUCUCUCCCUCCGCUUUCUCCCCUCCUUCCCCCUCUCCCUUUCCCCUCCCUCCUCCCAGACCCCUCCCUCCCUCUCUCCUUCCCCCACAGCCCCACUGGACUGCCUUUUGUAAGAGACCUCUAUGGCUGUGUCACCAGGAGGCCUAGACCUAGGCCAUUUCCUCUGCCCAGACCGAGAUUCCCCUAGAGCCUCACCCCUUCUUUAUUAAGGUCUCUGGUCAAAUGCCGACUCCCUGACCGCCUUCUCUAAGAUAUCCUGCCCCGCCCCCUCCUCAUCACUCUAUAUGCACCCCUGCCCUCCCCCACACCUGAGUUUUCUUCCUGGCCCUUAGCAUACCGUGUGACAUUAUAUUAUAUAUUUAUGUAUUGUCUUCUGCCCUGGCUUCCAUGCAACCUCCAUGCCGUACCCCCAGCACCUGGAACAGUGGCCAGUGCAGUGGACCCCUAAUAACUAUGCACGGAAUGAAAUAUUUGUGGAAGAACUAAGCAUUAGCUAUAAUUGUUAUUUUUCGCCACUGCCUCCUGUCUUGAUUUAGGAGCGAACGAUCAGGGAGCUC